GCACAUUUUAGAGCCUAAUUCACUUUAAUUAACAAUUAAAAUUACAAUCAAAUCCAAAUUCAGAAUCUUAAUGCUAAGAUCUAUCCUCAAAUAAAUUUAUUGUAAUCCAUCUCUACUUUAAAAAACUGCACCUUGAUCUGAUUUUUAAUAUAAUUUUAUAUCCUAAUUAUAUAUUUCCAAAAAUAAUUUUCAACGACGAUAUACAAGCAAUAUUAAAGUUUUAUUAAUCGUGGGUUAUCGAUUACAGGACAGAUUCCCCUGAUUGGAAUUAAAAAACCGCCAAAUUUUUUGAUUUUCAAGAAAAUAACUAAAAUUCAUCAGGUCACAAAUUUACAUUCUAGGAUAAUGGGGUAUCUAAUCCCAGUCUAAAAUCCAGAUUUCUUAGCCUCUUAAUCAAAAGUUUAAUUAAAUACAAAAUAGGAUUCCACCCAAUAUUUACUAAAAUAAAAACCAAUUUAUAACAACUAAAUAUAACCAAAAAAAAAAUAGUAGCGUUAUUUGUUUAACCGCA
rnacentral:rRNA from 1 species